ACAAGUUCUUCUCGGUGAGGUGGACAUUGCUGUUCAGGAAGAUGGUUUCGAUAAAUUUACAACGGAGGAACCCUUUACAAAAAAAUGCAUCGUCAAUGGAAACGCAUAUUCUCACAGUCAGACGAAUAAAAUACGUGGAACAGCUUUGAUAAUGCUUGCUUACAUGUGGAUUGAUAUCGUAUCUGGCAAGCAUUUCCGUGCCAUCGAUCGAAAUGUUUACACGUGCGUUCCCGCAUUGAGUUCUGAAAAAUACAAGGGAAAUCAAAUUUCGUGAUAUGCACGGUGGUACUGUCUAAAUAAUCCCCUAAAAAAAUUCAAGAAAGUAGAAAAAAAUGUGAAAUCGAACUGAGCAGCCAGUACAUGAAGGUCCUUUUCAGUAAAGUGCAAGGUGACACUGUGUAACAUGAUAUCAAAUUCGGUGCUUUCCAACUAUACGUUCAGACCCUAAUGGCAACUCAUGUAAGCUUACUGCUCUGCACUUUGGCGGUGAAAUGAAGAAGCUAAAUAGUGUAUCAACCAUAAAUUGAGACUGUUUAGACAUUUGCCUAGAUCGUGGCCUGGAAGUCAAAUGCUUGGCGUGGUCAGGCAAAGCAUUCUCAGAUCAUCAAUACCCAUACUUUCUCUCUCGCAGACUUUCACAUAAUUUGUCAAUUUAAAACUUUGACAAUAUGAGUACAUUUUCAUUUUAUUGUGUUUCAAAAUAUUUCUAAGGAUACUCAUUGACGCAGAUACCUCUCCCCUCACAGGCUUUCAGAUAAUUUGUCAGUUUAAAACGCUGACAAUAUGAGUACAUUUUCAUUAUUUUACAUUUUAAAAUAAUUCUUAUUCAUCAAAACCUUGACCUUGCCUGGCCACGCCAAGCAUUUGACUUCCAGGCCACGGACAUCUAGGCAAAUGUCUAAACAGUAGUAGGGCUGUUCAAGUACCCGAAAAAAUCAAGCCGAGUUGGACUCGCUCGAAGUCACGAGCCGAGUCGAGUACUUGAAAAAACCGAGUAGCUUGAAAGAUUCAGGCUACCUGAAAGAAACUAAGUAACUUGAAUUUUUCAAGCUACCCGAAUAGAACCGAGCGGUCCGAAAAAACCAAGCAGCCCGAAAGAACCGGACAACUCGAAUGGUUUCAGGCUUUUCCGAGUACACAUGUUAGUCCGCCGCCGGCAACAAUGGUAUUAUAAAAACGACGUAGCAAACUAGACCCAAAGAAGGUCGACCAUCAUUUUCCGUAUUUCUUAUCGGAUCUUAACGAAUGUAUUACCAAUCGAUUUCUUAUGUUAUCCCGAUGAAAAUGGUACCAGACACGAUACAAUUCGGAUUAUUUAGAAGGAAAUUAUACGAAAAAAAUGAUUUGCACGCUUUUUGUCUAUCUUCGUUAAAAAUAGUCUGAUUUACAUAGUGUUUAAUAGCGUGGUUUCAUCAGGAAAACGUAAGGAAUCCAUCGGCGUUACUCCCGUAAUAAUACGAUGCAUAUGAAGUGAAAUCGGGUGAUUACUGAAAGCCAUAAACCAAGGGUUGAACCAUCCAAAGCGCACGUGUGCCAAAUUUAACCCACGAC